rnacentral:tRNA from 1 species
GCGCGCGUAGCUCAGCGGUAGAGCGAUCGCUUCACACGCGAUAGGUCGGAGGUUCGACACCUCCCGCGCGCA